AUACGGGGGGUGCAAGCGUUAAUCGGAAUUACUGGGCGUAAAGCGUACGUAGGCGGUUAUUUAAGUCAGAUGUGAAAGCCCCGGGCUUAACUUGGGAACUGCAUUUGAAACUGGGUAACUAGAGUUUAGUAGAGGGGAGUGGAAUUUCAGGUGUAUCGGUGAAAUGCGUAGAGAUCUGAAGGAACACCAGUGGCGAAGGCGACUCCCUGGACUAAAACUGACGCUGAGAUACGAAAGCGUGGGUAGCAAACAGGAUUAGAAACCCUAGUAGUCC
rnacentral:rRNA from 1 species